rnacentral:rRNA from 1 species
AGAGUUUGAUCCUGGCUCAGGAUGAACGCUAGCUACAGGCUUAACACAUGCAAGUCGAGGGGAAACGAUAGAGAAAGCUUGCUUUUUCUAGGCGUCGACCGGCGCACGGGUGAGUAACGCGUAUCCAACCUGCCCAUCACUUGGGGAUAACCUUGCGAAAGUAAGACUAAUACCCAAUGACGUCCAUAGAAGACAUCUGAAGGAGAUUAAAGAUUUAUCGGUGAUGGAUGGGGAUGCGUCUGAUUAGCUUGUUGGCGGGGUAACGGCCCACCAAGGCGACGAUCAGUAGGGGUUCUGAGAGGAAGGUCCCCCACAUUGGAACUGAGACACGGUCCAAACUCCUACGGGAGGCAGCAGUGAGGAAUAUUGGUCAAUGGACGAGAGUCUGAACCAGCCAAGUAGCGUGCAGGAUGACGGCCCUAUGGGUUGUAAACUGCUUUUAUAAGGGAAUAAAGUGAGUCUCGUGAGACUUUUUGCAUGUACCUUAUGAAUAAGGACCGGCUAAUUCCGUGCCAGCAGCCGCGGUAAUACGGAAAGUCCGGGCGUUAUCCGGAUUUAUUGGGUUUAAAGGGAGCGUAGGCCGGAGAUUAAGCGUGUUGUGAAAUGUAGACGCUCAACGUCUGCACUGCAGCGCGAACUGGUUUCCUUGAGUACGCACAAAGUGGGCGGAAUUCGUGGUGUAGCGGUGAAAUGCUUAGAUAUCACGAAGAACUCCGAUUGCGAAGGCAGCUCACUGGAGCGCAACUGACGCUGAAGCUCGAAAGUGCGGGUAUCGAACAGGAUUAGAUACCCUGGUAGUCCGCACGGUAAACGAUGGAUGCCCGCUGUUGGUCUGAAUAGGUCAGCGGCCAAGCGAAAGCAUUAAGCAUCCCACCUGGGGAGUACGCCGGCAACGGUGAAACUCAAAGGAAUUGACG